CAGACAAACUGUGUGUGUGUGUGUGUGUGCAGACAUGUCUUCCAUAAGGUGUGUGUGGACCCCUGGCUGAACGAGCACUGCACCUGUCCGAUGUGUAAGCUGAACAUCCUGAAGGCUCUCGGCAUCGCGACCGCCCUGCCCUGUGUGGACAGUCUGGAGCUGGACGUGGACCGACUGCCUGUCAACUCCACCUCCAGCAGCCGGGCCCCCCCUCCUGGAGACAGCCCCCCCCCCCCCAAUCAGCCUGGAGCCCCUCACCCCCCCCCACCCCUCAGCCCAGAGGCCCUCUGACAUCACCAUCGCUGUGACCAGCGGCGGAUCCUUCUUCACCAGGACCUCCAUGUCUCCUUUGGUCUGUGAAAUGGAGCUGCCUGACCUCCAGAACUCUGUGGACCUGUACAACGACAACAAGUCCUGAGAGUUCCCCCCCAGCAGGGAUGGACGGGGUCUGAUCACAUGGAAGAACUUUAAACAGCAUUUAACCUUCAGCCUGGAUCAAGGUGUCAGUUCAGACCCUUGUGACUUUGUUUUACCCAGAAGAAGAACCAGAGCUGAAUUAUUUAAUCCAGAGAACUGUGGACCAGGAACCAGAACCUGAAUCCUGUUACUUUGGUUCACCUGAAUUGUAUGUUGCUGUUGAGUUCCUUAAAACAUCCUAGAGGCCCCAAAAGUGUUCUUGUGUUCCUGGAAAAGAGCUUCUGGAACAUGUCCUGAGUUCCUAACAAGGUUCCUCUCAAAGGUUCCUUAGCACCUAAAAGCUGUUCUUGGGUCUCCAGCAGACUUUUGUCAUUCCGUGAAAUGUUCCUGGAAAGGUCCUGAGUUAAAAACAUGUUGCUUAAAAAGGUCACAAGUUCUUAACAUGGUUUCUGGAAAAGGGUUCCUGAGUUCUGAAACAGGUUCUUGGGUUCCUGAAAAACUGGUUGGUGGAAGAGUUACCAAGCACAUUAAGAGGUUCUGUAUAGUUCCUCAGCACAGAAGAAAGUUCUGUUGGGUUCUUCAGCACAGACGGUUCUGUUGGGUUCCUAAGCACAGGUUUGGAAAACAUUUCCCUUUCGAUCAAGAUGAUCCUGGGUUCUCUAUGACGUUGUAGUUCUUACAGAGGUUCCCUGAUUCUAGAGGCUUCAGAAAGGUUCCAGAGUUCUUCACAAAUGGGACAAAGGACCUGAGACUUUCUUACCUGAACCCAAACAGACCAUCAGGACAAGAACUCUUACAAACCCAAGAGAACUUAAACCCAGUUCUGUUGUUUUUCAUCUGGAGACCAGAAGUUCUUCAGUAGUCUGGACCCGGAUGCAGAGACCUGAACGGUGUUAACCCCCUGUAGCAAUAACUUAGGUUUAAAGGAAAGGUCCAACACUUCAGAGAACCGUCCUGUUUCCUGUUUCCGAAAUGGGGCUUCCUCAGGUCCGGGAUUCUCUAUCAAACCUCCUGAGUCACAUCUGUCCUCAAAACGCUGAGUCAGGUCUGUCCUCAAAACGCUGAGUCACAUCUGUCCUCAAAACGCUGAGUCAGGUCUGUCCUCAAAACGCUGAGUCACAUCUGUCCUCAAAACGCUGAGUCAGGUCUGUCCUCAAAACGCUGAGUCAGGUCUGUCCUCAAAACACUGAGUCAGGUCUGUCCUCAAAACGCUGAGUCAGGUCUGUCCUCAAAACGCUGAGUCAGGUCUGUCCUCAAAACGCUGAGUCAGGUCUGUCCUCAAAACGCUGAGUCAGGUCUGUCCUCAAAACGCUGAGUCACAUCUGUCCUCAAAACGCUGAGUCAGGUCUGUCCUCAAAACGCUGAGUCACAUCUGUCCUCAAAACGCUGAGUCAGGUCUGUCCUCAAAACGCUGAGUCAGGUCUGUCCUCAAAACGCUGAGUCACAUCUGUCCUCAAAACGCUGAGUCAGGUCUGUCCUCAAAACGCUGAGUCAGGUCUGUCCUCAAAACACUGAGUCACAUCUGUCCUCAAAACGCUGAGUCAGGUCUGUCCUCAAAACGCUGAGUCACAUCUGUCCUCAAAACGCUGAGUCACAUCUGUCCUCAAAACGCUGAGUCACAUCUGUCCUCAAAACGCUGAGUCAGGUCUGUCCUCAAAACGCUGAGUCAGGUCUGUCCUCAAAACGCUGAGUCACAUCUGUCCUCAAAACGCUGAGUCACAUCUGUCCUCAAAACGCUGAGUCAGGUCUGUCCUCAAAACACUGAGUCAGGUCUGUCCUCAAAACGCUGAGUCAGGUCUGUCCUCAAAACACUGAGUCAGGUCUGUCCUCAAAACACUGAGUCAGGUCUGUCCUCAAAACGCUGAGUCACAUCUGUCCUCAAAACACUGAGUCAGGUCUGUCCUCAAAACGCUGAGUCAGGUCUGUCCUCAAUGCAUGUAUAGAGUAUGCAGUGUGUAUCAGGAGUGUCUAUAGAGUAUGCAGUGUGUGUAUCAGGAGUGUGUAUAGAGUAUGCAGUGUGUGUAUCAGGAGUGUGUAUAGAGUAUGCAGUGUGUAUCAGGAGUGUCUAUAGAGUAUGCUGUGUGUAUCAGGAGUGUGUAUAGAGUAUGCAGUGUGUAUCAGGAGUGUGUAUAGAGUAUGCAGUGUGUAUCAGGAGUGUGUAUAGAGUAUGCAGUGUGUAUCAGGAGUGUCUAUAGAGUAUGCAGUGUGUAUCAGGAGUGUGUAUAGAGUAUGCAGUGUGUGUAUCAGGAGUGUGUAUAGAGUAUGCACUGUGUGUAUCAGGAGUGUGUAUAGAGUAUGCAGUGUGUAUCAGGAGUGUCUAUAGAGUAUGCAGUGUGUAUCAGGAGUGUGUAUAGAGUAUGCAGUGUGUGUAUCAGGAGUGUGUAUAGAGUAUGCAGUGUGUAUCAGGAGUGUGUAUAGAGUAUGCAGUGUGUAUCAGGAGUGUCUAUAGAGUAUGCAGUGUGUAUCAGGAGUGUGUAUAGA